GCUGGGCAUGAUGGUGCAUGCCUGUAAUCCCAGCAGCGUGGGAAGCUGAGGCAGGAAGAUUGAAUUUAAGCCAGCCUCAG
rnacentral:sRNA from 1 species